rnacentral:tRNA from 2 species
GCGACCAUAGCUCAAUUGGUUAGAGCGCCGGUUUGUGGUACCGGAGGUUGCGGGUUCGAGACCCGUUGGUCGCCCCA